GCGCCCCCCUCCCCGGCCCGUUGUCCCCAAACAACGAAAAAAGCCCCAAAUCGCCCCAAAAGGCGCUGCCCGAGCGCUGCGGCCGCGAAACUCCGCGCCCCCUGCCCAGCCCCGGGGCUUCCGGGGGGCACCGAGCCCCGCUGCAACCCCCCCCCCCUCCCGGCCCCGCACCUCGGGCCGGCUCCGGAGUUAGCGGCUGCCCUCUCCCUGCAUAAUCGCGGAGGUAGCCUGGCUGCGUAAUUGUGUUUGCACUUGCAGAGGGCUGCAUCGGAGUUCCCUUAUUGGUUUGAAAUUCCAUUAAAUAUAUUGCAAGAGCUCCUAGGUUAAGCUUGAUUUAAAUUUGCAUACAUUUUCAUAUAUUUAGCAGAAAUAAAAGAAGGCUUGCAGCUAGCCGAAAGUCAUUAAGGCAUUAGUUUCUCUGGGAAGACAGAUCUGAAGGAAAAAAAAAAAAAAAAGUCAAGCAAAUAGCUAGACCCAAGGUGGAGCUGAAUACAAUGCCUGCAUUUGUGGCUAACUACAAGCAAUACAUUAUGAAGAUGAUGGUAUUCAGACACACACCCAAACAAUUUGAUUCAGACAAAUUGGAUACAAGACUUUGACCAGCAUAAGAAGAACAGGCAUUGUACAGACAGGCAGCAAUGCAGACCUGCUGGAGGAGCUCAGCAGGAGGAGAGCCCGCGCUGCACCAGCAACGUGGUCUGAACAGAGGUCUGUGUUGGUCCAGCUCAUUGGAAACUUUCAUGCUUAAAUCAGGAGGAUGCUAUAGUUGGAGCUAAUCUGCGAGAUAAGAAUUUGCCAAGGGCAUCAACAGCAGUUUUCCCAGGCUUCAGAACAAGGAUUAUGUAGUCAAUCCACAAAUGACUCAAAUCUUUGAAAAAACGGACAUGGUUAUCAGAGGGGCUUUGACAGCAGCAAGGGUGGGAGUGCUAUCUGGCGUAGUGCAUCAGAGGCUCUUAUUCCAUCUCAUUAACACACUCAGGACAUCAGCACCGGCCACCGGUCCAGGGGAAUCAGGCCGCGUUGGACUGGUGUUCACACAGCCUGCAACACACAGCCACACACCCCGGCAGGACAGCUGGCUCUCCGCCGUGCAGUUGGUCCAUCCCCAGCCAGGGUGUGAAGAUGAACAUCAAGAGCCAUCGCCCUCCUGCCCUUUGCACCGACCAUGCUGCCCUGCCAAUGUCAAGAUCAACGGGCUGUUGGGGAGAACAACUAAAUUCUGCCCCCAAUACUUCUGCAUUUACUGAAGAAACAAGAACCGACUAGGAAAGGUACUGCGCAGGUGAUAAACGAAAUGUAGAGAAUGAGAAGUUCCCCUCAGUGUUCUUCCAGCAGGAUAUAUUGGAAGGAAUACCCAUUCUACUUGUGGUUUGUGUUGCUCCAUGGGACUUAACAGAGAAUUAUGUUUCCUUUAAAGCAUUUCAUGGGGCUGUUAAAAACACCCACAGAAAGUUUCCAACCUGCUAAAUUCCAGAGGGUUAUUUUGUGAAUCUUUUCUACUGUGAAGUUGGGAUUUCUUCCCUGUGCAGUUCUGUAUGUUUUCUCAGAAGGUGAAGCUCAAAACAACAGUUUUAAAAUAUGUGAUGUUUGUCAUAAUUUGAGAGGAAAAAUCUACCUGAGCCUGUAUUCCUUGUGCUCCCAAAUCCAUCACUGACUGUGCCGCUGAGGUAUCGUUUUUUACAAGCCAGUAAAGAUGCCUCUAUAAGAAUAGCAUGUGUAAUAACAGUCAUGGGGUGAGCUGAGAUAUUCAGUCUUACUAAGUCCUUACAAAUUACAGUGGAACCAACAUCUCCCUCUAACUGUGAGAAGACCCUGUGGGUCUUCUGCUGGGGAGCACAGCAUCCAAACUCCUCGUGAGACGGCUGGACUUCCCACGGGUACAGAACGAUUGGGAAAGUCCAGCUGCACAACAGUUAGACAAUUAGCAUGAAAUGCUUAAAUAACCAUUCUAGUAUGUCUGAGAGGACAGCUGACUUUGUCUGCAAGUCAAAAUACAAAUCAAAAACAAAAUCAAAAUACAGUGCAGAUGCUUUUAUAGCUACAAUGAUGGGCAGAGGCUCAGAAAUUUGGGUGGUAUGGAUUACACAGGUUCAGCAUAGUGAACACCCUGCAGAGCUGCUUUCUGACUAAAGGGGAAGUCAUUUUCUGUGUCGCUUUUGAUUCGAGAGCUGUAUUUGGCCUCCACGUGGAAGGAGAGCUAAAGGAGGAGCGCGGCAUUGCCUGCAGCACUCAGCCUUCAGCAGAGCCGCUGUGUGCAGCGUUUGUUCCCUGCGAGGAGACUCCUGUAAGUGUCUGCACUGUGACAGGCACAGGAGAGCAGGGUCACCAAAUCAGCAGCCGUGCCUUGGUGCCUGCUCCUGGAUGGGGGUGAAGGUACUGAUGUGCCUGCCACCAGCCCUGUGCUGACAAUGGGGCCGUCCCGUCUUUGCAGGAGCACCUUUGUAUAAUGGAAAUGUAUGGGAUUUGUUGUAUGUCUACUGCCAGUUAAUAUUUGUAUACCUUUGUUUUU